UAGAAACCAUGGAACAGAAUCUAAAAAUACAAGAAUUCCAUGAGAAAUUCUAAGUUCUGGCAUCUAGACGAAGAAGAAAGAAUGGACACUGGCAAUAUUUGUGGAGACUCGGGCUUACAAUUCCCCCAAACUGAUGAAAACACCAAUCUUCAGAUGUAAGAAUUCCAAUAAAUACCACUCAGGAUAAAUAAAAGGAAAUCCAUACCUAAACACAUCAUAGUUAAACUGAAUAAAAUAAAAAAAAUUUUUUUAAGCAGAUAGAGCAACUUGCCUUCAAGGGAGUAAUAGACUGACAGGUGACUUCUUAACAGUAGCAGCAGAAGUCAGAAAUAAACUGCUAAUCUAGAAUUUGUAACCAUAAAAAAAUAAAGACAUUUCAGAUGAAUAAACAAUUGAAAAAAAUUACCUUUAGGAGACCCACAGGAAUUUGCAAAGGAUUUUUCCAGAAAAAGGGGAAAUAAUCACUGGAGAAGAUCAAGGGGAUCUUCAAAAAGAAUAAAGAGAGAAGAAAGUCGCAAACAUAAAGAGAGUAUUCAUCAAGAAAAGGUCAUAUGAAGACACAAAAAGGAGGCAGCUGCCUAAAAGCCAGGAAGAGCCCUCAACAGGAAGAAGUGAAUUGUCCAGCUCCUUGAUCUUGGACUUCUCAGCCUCCAAAACUGAGGUGGAAACAAAGCAUGCUGGAGAAUCUGUUGGUGUCUACCCUGGGAGACAGGUAGGGAAGGUAAAGAGGCUUGGCAAUAAAUUGUACUUCCAGGAGGCUAAAGAAGUGUUGGGGGUCUGAGUUUGGCUUUUUAUUUUUCUUUCUCUAUCUGGCUAAUUUCACUUAAUAUAGUGUUCUUGAGGUCUAUCCAUAUUAUCAC